AUAAAUUGAAGUGUUUCUGCAAAUUCUAAGAGGUUCUUAACAUUAUCCAGAAUGGUGCCUUGGUGGACGAUCAUGCACCUUGCUGGAGAGGCACUUUCUUCAGGUAGGGAGCCAGGAUCCACAGGCAGAGAGGGAGUGGAGUGGUGUUCUUCCAAACAGGAAACAGGUGCACUGUCUCCAUGAGGUCUGGUGUGGUCAGCGAUGGUGGUGCUGUGCCACCCGGGGUAGCUGCAUGUGUGGUUCUGCGUCUAAGGAGGGGGAGGAGGGUGGGGGAAUAAAGAAAGAGUAGGGAGAAGAAAGGGAGAAGGAACUUAGCAAUGAAGUUGCACAAGGUAUCAGAUGCUGUUGGAGGAAAGAUAAAAGUAGUUGCAUCAUCCAAAACUUGCGCCUAUGAAACAGUCGUCAAGAUGUUUCCUUUUAUCGAUGCAAGACCCUGCUUUUUAAUAGUGGCAUAGUCUGUCACCUAUAUGAACACCCUCACUGUCAUCAUUUUGCUAAAACUGCCAACAGAGAGACUGUGUCCUCAAGUGCCACUCUCCCAUGGUCCAUCUUAAAAGUCUACUUUAACAUCAUCUCCAAAAGGACCACGCAUGGUUGCUGUGAACUAAGAAUUGUCCUGUUCUCAUUCUAACCUACAAAAAGGCCAGAGGACUCGAGAGUUAGAGUUGCUUUUGUCUGCAUAUGUUCUCAUUGCUUCUAUCCCUUUUUAAUGUUACGGAUUGCACUGAUGCAGUGAAGGGCUGUCAAAUCAACGUGGUUAGGAAAGCAGAAGGGCAAAUUAACAGAAGUCUCCUUUCGGCAUGACCAUGCAACAAGAGAAAUUGCAAAACAUGAACUAGAGUUAAAAAGUGGUCGAACUAACAUAUGCACAUAAUCAUCUUAUGAUUUAGCCCCAAAGACAUGUAUUCCUAAGAAUACCCA
rnacentral:lncRNA from 1 species